UUAAAAAUUGGAUCUAAUAAGAUUUGUUAGGGAUAAGGUAUGAAAUAGGUUUUGAUGAAAUAAGUCUCCCGUAAGCUCUCACCUAAUGGUUGAUAAUUUAUUCAUUCAAUUUUCAGGAUGUUCCUAUUGAGUCACAUCCAUCAAAGUUGGUUGGAAGCAUAGGAUCAAAGAACAGAUACUUUGAUUUCUAUAAACUGGCUGAGGUUUGCUCUUCUGACAGUAUUAGGUGCUAAGAAUGAUUCCCACUAAAACUGUUGUGUGCAACUUGGCUUCAAUUGCUUUACCACGAUUUGUUAGGGAUAAGGAUGUUCUUAUUGAGUCACAUCCAUCAAAGUUGGUUGGAAGCAUAGGAUCAAAGAACAGAUACUUUGAUUUCUAUAAACUGGCUGAGCUUGAAGAUCUUUGUACCAAUGACAAUCCUAGCUCUGUUAGUUCUUAUUCCGGUGAAUGUAUAAGAUGGGACAUUGAAAAAUAUUAACAAAGACAUAGUUUUCAGUGGCAUUGAUAAGCUCUCAAUUUCAAAUGUUAGGGAGGGUUCUCAACGGUUCUGGUAUCACCUGUCAAUGGCAUACUUGUUCACCAUAUGGACUUGCUACGUCCUUUACAAGGAGUAUGGACAUAUAGCCUUCAUGAGAUUGCAUUUUUUAGAAGAUCAAGAUCGUCGUGCUGAGUUCACUGUAGUUGUCAGAAAUAUCCCACAUGUUUCUGGGCAAUCUAUAUCAGAAAGCGUGGAUCAGUUUUUUCAACGGAACCAUCCUGAACACUACCUUGGCCACCAGUUAGUAGCAGAGCGUCAGAUAAUUCUCAAAGAUCCAAAAGCUAUCAUGCCUGUAGCAUUUGUUUCAUUUGACUCGAGAUGGGCUGUCUGCUAUUUGUGCUCAAACUCAGCAAAGUAGGAACCCAACACGCUGGUUAACUUACUGGGCACCAGAGCCACGCAAUGUUUACUGGAAGAAUCUAGCUAUACCAUUUGUUUCUCUCAGCAUCAGAAAACUGCUUAUAUCAUUAUCUGUGUUCGCUCUGGUAUUCUUUUACAUGAUACCUAUUGCUGAUGUGCAGUCACUGGAAAAUCUCGAUGGUCUGGAAAAGGUGGCUCCUUUCCUCAGGCCUGUGAUAGAGCUAUGCAAUUGCUUCCAAGCGAGAAAACCUGCAAAGGGAGAUGGAACAGCUGAUAGUAACAAAACAUAUGCCUUGCAUGGAUGAAUAACAUCACACUCAGUCUUCUGAUGAUUCCCAAAAACAUCUGAGAAGAAGCUUGGUUAUGUUCUUGUUAUCGGAGCAACAAACAAACAAAAUGCAAUUGACCAACCUUUAAGGAGAGCUGGACGGUUUGAUCGUGAGAAUUCUUUGGGUGAACCUGAUGAAAAAACCACUGCUAGAGAUCCUGUCAGUUAUUACUCGAAAAUGUAAAUGUGUGUUUUGGAGAGAGUGGAGUCAAUGAGAUAUAGUUUUAUAUAAUAAUUAUGUCCUUUUGAACUUUUAAGUGUUUCAUAAAAUUACACGCUGAGUAUUGCAUGAUUGCAAGGUUAGGUGAUCAAUGAAUUCCUAUCGUUCAA